UCUCUCUCUCUCUCUCUCUCCCCCCUCUCCUCUUCAAUACGUGGACGACAUGGAAGGGACCAAGAACACAGCUAACAACAGAGCUUCUGCUUUCAGGGUCUACUAUAGCCACGGACACUAAUGGAGUGGUGAUGUUGGUGAUGUUGCAUCUGCUCGAGUCAUGGAUCCCUCGCGAAUCGAACCCCCUCUACCUCGUCCUCCUCUACAUCCUCUUCCACAUACUCUAGUGGCAUGUCUAUAACCCGCAUUCAACCUAACAAUUUAUCAUCUUUCGUAUGACAUACUUGAUGACCACGGUAUAUUAAUAGUGGGACCAUGAAAAUUGAAGACAAGUUGAUAAAAUAACCAUGUCAGAUGGGGAACGUCGGGACAUUAGAUCUCAAAUCUAAAUUUCAAAUCCUAAUCUGAAUCUUAGACACGGGACAUUACAAAAACAACAGAGUUAUUCCCUACCAUGUUGAAUAUUUUCGAUCCCCACUUAUUCACCACCCGAACACAUCCAUUUGAUUCAUGAAAGAUCACAUAUUUUCUUUCAUCCAAAAGUAAAGGGAGAUUUUCCUGUUCGGAGAUCA